rnacentral:rRNA from 1 species
AUUGAACGCUGGCGGCAGGCCUAACACAUGCAAGUCGAGCGAGCGGCGGACGGGUGAGUAAUGUAUGUGAACUGCCCGAUAGAGGGGGAUAACUACUGGAAACGGUAGCUAAUACCGCAUACUAUCCGAUAACCCAUAUGGGAUUAGCUAGUAGGUGAGGUAAUGGCUCACCUAGGCGACGAUCCCUAGCUGGUCUGAGAGGAUGAUCAGCCACACGGGGACUGAGACACGGCCCAGACGCCUACGGAGGCAGCAGUGGGGAAUAUUGCACAAUGGGCGCAAGCCUGAUGCAGCCAUGCCGCGUGUGUGAAGAAGGCCUUAGGGUUGUAAAGCACUUUCAGUCGGGAGGCGUUACCGACAGAAGAAGCACCGGCUAACUCCGUGCCAGCAGCCGCGGUAAUAC